rnacentral:rRNA from 1 species
UACGGAAGGUCCAGGCGUUAUCCGGAUUUAUUGGGUUUAAAGGGAGCGUAGGCCGUUUGGUAAGCGUGUUGUGAAAUGUCGGGGCUCAACCUGGGCAUUGCAGCGUGAACUGCCAGACUUGAGUGCGCAGGAAGUAGGCGGAAUUCGUCGUGUAGCGGUGAAAUGCUUAGAUAUGACGAAGAACUCCGAUUGCGAAGGCAGCCUGCUGUAGCGCAACUGACGCUGAAGCUCGAAAGCGUGGGUAUCGAACAGG